rnacentral:rRNA from 1 species
AUACGGAGGGUGCAAGCGUUGUUCAGAAUUACUGGGCGUAAAGCGCGUGCAGGCGGUAAGGUAAGUCAGAUGUGAAAGCCCCGGGCUCAACCCGGGAAGUGCAUUUGAUACUGCCUUUCUUGAGUAUGGGAGAGGAGAGUGGAAUUCCCAGUGUAGAGGUGAAAUUCGUAGAUAUUGGGAGGAACACCCGUGGCGAAGGCGACUCUCUGGACCAAUACUGACGCUGAGACGCGAAAGCGUGGGGAGCGAACAGGAUUAGAAACCCCAGUAGUCC